AGCUGUGACGUUACUCGCAGAAGAAGCACCGGCUAACUCCGUGCCAGCAGCCGCGGUGAUACGGAGGGUGCGAGCGUUAAUCGGAAUUACUGGGCGUAAAGCGCAUGCAGGCGGCCAAGUCAGUCAGAUGUGAAAGACCCCGGGCUUAACCUGGGAAUUGCAUUUGAAACUGCUUGGCUAGAGUCCUUGAGAGGGGGGUAGGAAUUUCAGGUGUAGCGGUGAAAUGCGUAGAGAUCUGAAGGAAUACCAGUGGCGAAGGCGGCCCCCUGGCAAGAGACUGACGCUCAGAUGCGAAAGCGUGGGGAGCAAACAGGAUUAGAUACCCUGGUAG
rnacentral:rRNA from 1 species